UGGGUUCUAUUCCCUUAAACCGUGUCUACAUACCUUUGUUGCUUUGGCAGGCCGCCUUCGGGCGUCGGCUCCGGCUGAUAGUGCCUGCCAGAGGACCCAAACUCUAUGUUUAGUGAUGUCUGAGUACUAUAUAAUAUUUAAAACUUUCAACAACGGAUCUCUUGGUUCUGGCAUCGAUGAAGAACGCAGCGAAAUGCGAUAAGUAAUGUGAAUUGCAGAAUUCAGUGAGUCAUCGAAUCUUUGAACGCACAUUGCGCCCCUUGGUAUUCCGAGGGGCAUGCCUGUUCGAGUGUCAUUAUAACCACUCAAGCCUGGCUUGGUAUUGGGGCUUUCGCGUGUUCGCGGCCCUUAAAAUCAGUGGCGGUGCCGUCUGGCUCUAAGCGUAGUAAUUUCUCUCGCUAUAGGGUUCCGGUGGUUACUUGCCAAAACCCCCCAUUUUUUCUAGGUUGACCUCGGAUCAGGUAGGGAUACCUGCUGAACUUAAGCAUAUC
rnacentral:rRNA from 1 species